rnacentral:lncRNA from 1 species
UCAUGAAAGCUAUUCAAAAAUUAUAUAGACACCCCUUCAACUUUUUACAAUUUGCAUGUGUUGCAUCGAGGCUCUAGGUCGAGCUGAUGUGGCGGUGGAGGUGUGUUGGUUUGGCCAUUUGGAUGCCAUGCGAGACUUGUAAAAGAAGUCCACUCAUGCUGGAGCGGGGGGGGGUGCUCUGAUAGAGGACUCUUUGAUGCUUAAGUCAGUCGGAGCUUUGAGCACAGUAG